GGGGCUUGACUGAGAUUACCUUGGAAAAAAAAGAAAAAAGAAAAAAAUUGAUUGGGGCAAAUGUGCCCUUUGGAUUUGGUUGCUACUAUGAUUAUUAAUUAACCUAACUGUAGAGAUAUCAAGUACAUUUCUCCCUCUUGUUUAUAAGAACCCAUGAGAGACAAGGCCAACUGCAGACACUGGGGAUGUCCUCAUGAUAGUGAGAUGAACUGCCUAGUUCUCUUCCGAUAUCUUUACUUUCCUCCAGUUUUGUUGCUUGCAAAACAACAGAAUCUACUCUCCAUGAAAUCAGAUCCCCUUGGCUCCACAAGGAUAGAGACGGUUCUUUGCUGAGAGAGUCACUACCGCACACUCAAGUGAAAGGUAUUCAUUAUGCUUAGCAGAGUCAUUGGUAGAGCAGCUGCUGAUUCCAGCAAGGCAGUGCGGGUGAUAGGAAGGGAUUAGAUUAGGAAGAAAAGUGAUCCUCUCAUUCACUGAGAGGACUUUAAAUCUGCAAAAGCAUGUCAGUGAGAGGUCUACGUGUAAGGGCCAAUGUGCAAAAUCGAUGUGCACAUGUUACAGGUUGGAGACAGAUGAUGUAAUUCAGACCUGAGCACACCGUGGAACUCUCUUGAUGACUUCUCUCUACAAAUGGGUUGCCCCUGAAUGUAUAGAUUUGUUCUACAGGAGUCCUGCUCCUAACUCAUCAGAAAGUAAUGUCCCCUGUUGAUCUCAAAGGAAU
rnacentral:lncRNA from 1 species